CUCACGCAUCAGAGGAAGAAUAAAUUAGCAGCAGCUCAACACCUGUGCUCUCGCUAUUCUUUACCACAGGUCCCAGAAGCAAAAGAUGUGAGGCCAACACAGGGUGAAGACAUCAACAUCAGCACAAAGUCUGAGAACACUUGCUCACGUAUUGUGGUGCCCAAGGCUGCCAUCGUUGCCAAACACAUCUACCAGGCCAAUGGCUGCACCAAGGCCAUUGGCCUCCUCAG